UACGAAGGGGGCUAGCGUUGUUCGGAAUUACUGGGCGUAAAGGGCGCGCAGGCGGUGUGUCAAGUCAGGCGUGAAAGCCCCGGGCUCAACCUGGGAACCGCGCUUGAGACUGGCACGCUAGAGUUCGGGAGAGGAUGGUGGAAUUCCCAGUGUAGAGGUGAAAUUCGUAGAUAUUGGGAAGAACACCGAUGGCGAAGGCAGCCAUCUGGACCGACACUGACGCUGAGGCGCGAAAGCGUGGGGAGCAAACAGG
rnacentral:rRNA from 1 species